rnacentral:rRNA from 1 species
CGGACGGGUGAGUAAUGUCUGGGAAACUGCCUGAUGGAGGGGGGUAACUACUGGAAACGGUAGCUAAUACCGCAUAACGUCGCAAGACCAAAGAGGGGGACCUUGGGCCUCUUGCCAUCGGAUGUGCCCAGAUGGGAUUAGCUAGUAGGUGGGGUAACGGCUCACCUAGGCGACGAUCCCUAGCUGGUCUGAGAGGAUGACCAGCCACACUGGAACUGAGACACGGUCCAG